rnacentral:lncRNA from 1 species
UUUGCCUAUGUCAUAACCAUGAAAUACAUAAGUUUAUGCUUAAAAUUUUGAUUUAAAAUAACUUGUGAGAAGCUAUAAAUCCUUGAGCAUAAUGAAAAUGUUGUUUGUAUGAUAUACAUCUAUAUAAUACAUAAGAUUAUUUCUUUAUUCUGCUCUUUCAUGUAAAUUACUUGAGAAUAAUAAAAAGAGAGAGAGAUAA